AGCUCUGCGACUCACAUGGUGUGGCUACAGCAAAGCAGAUCCUAGAGAGUUGGAAUCAUAUCAUCCUGAGCAUCUGCACCACUCCUCCUUGGAGAGUGCAUACUAAUCAUCUCUCUUCAUGGUCAGUAACCACAUAAGGACAACACCAGACGAUGCCAGUGGUGUUGGUCCUGUAGCAUUUAUGUGCUUCCCUGAAAAGAUAGUCAUGCCAGAUAUUAUUCGUCAACCUUGUCCUUGGUCUUCUCUCUUGAUUGAGGCAGAUGUUUAUUUUUCCAUCUGUACUAUAUGUCAGUGCAACUGCAGCCUUCAUCUGGCAAAGGGUGCCUGUAAUAUUAUGAGGCCAUCACAUAAGCUGCUGGAAAGAUUAUUCUGGUGAAUAAAAUCAGUUUAUAGCUAAAAACAUUUAUUCUUCAUUUUGAUAAGCCCUUAACAAAUGGAAAUUUGCUUCCUUACUCUUUUGCCAAGCAUAGGACCAUGUUUAUUUCUCGCUAUAUGGGUCACGAAGGAUUCCCAGCUGUUAGCUAGAGUCAGUUGUGCAUUGCUGCACUCAACAACAUCUGUUUCACAAAAACAGUAUCCAGCUUUUAGCACUCAAAUGGAGGUUAGACCAUAUGCCGGCAGACCACUUAGUUUUUACCUUGGGA
rnacentral:lncRNA from 1 species